UACAGAGGUCCCAAGCGUUGUUCGGAUUCAUUGGGCGUAAAGGGUGUGUAGGUGGCGCCGUAAGUCGGGUGUGAAAUCUCGGGGCUUAACUCCGAAACUGCAUUCGAUAACUGCGGUGCUUGAGGACUGGAGAGGAGACUGGAAUUCAUGGUGUAGCAGUGAAAUGCGUAGAGAUCAUGAGGAAGACCAGUGGCGAAGGCGGGUCUCUGGACAGUUCCUGACACUGAGACACGAAGGCCAGGGGAGCAAACGGG
rnacentral:rRNA from 1 species